UACGUAGGUGGCAAGCGUUGUCCGGAAUUAUUUGGGCGUAAAGCGCGCGCAGGCGGUCCUUUUAAGUCUGAUGUGAAAGCCCACGGCUCAACCGUGGAGGGUCAUUGGAAACUGGGGGACUUGAGUGCAGGAGAGAAGAGUGGAAUUCCACGUGUAGCGGUGAAAUGCGUAGAGAUGUGGAGGAACACCAGUGGCGAAGGCGACUCUUUGGCCUGUAACUGACGCUGAGGCGCGAAAGCGUGGGGAGCAAACAGG
rnacentral:rRNA from 1 species